GAGUUUGAUCCUGGCUCAGGGUGAACGCUGGCGGCAUGUCUAAGGCAUGCAAGUCAAACCCUGUCGCAAGACGGGGUGGCAAACGGGAGAGUAACACAUUGGUAACCUACCUCUAUCUCGGGCACAACUCGGAGAAAUCUGAGAUAAUUCCCGAUAGUUAUGGGGGGACUAUAAGUCAUUCCCAUAUAAAGAUCCGUCGGAUAGAGAGGGGCCUAUGUCUCAUCAGCUUGUUGGUAGGGUAACGGCCUACCAAGGCUAUGACGAGUAGCGGGUGUGAGAGCAUGACCCGCCCCACUGGGACUGAGACACUGCCCAGACUCCUACGGGAGGCUGCAGUCAAGAAUCUUCCUCAAUGGACGAAAGUCUGAAGGAGCAAUGCCGCGUGGUAGACGAAGCUCUUCGGAGUGUAAAUACCUUUUAUCAGGGACGAAUUUGUGACGGUACCUGAUGAAUAAGUCACUGCUAACUUCGUGCCAGCAGCAGCGGUAAUACGAAGGUGGCAAGCGUUACCCGGAAUGAUUGGGCGUAAAGGGUCCGUAGACGGUUCUUAAAGUUCUUGGUCAAAUCUCGAGGCUCAACCUCGAGACCGCUGAGAAUACUUUUGAACUUGAGACUGGAAGAGGCAAGCGGAAUUGCCGGUGUAGUAGUGAAAUGCGUUGAUAUCGGCAAGAACACCAAAAGCGAAGGCAGCUUGCUAGGACAGUUCUGACGUUCAGGGACGAAAGCGUGGGUAGCGAAUGGGAUUAGAUACCCCAGUAGUCCACGCCGUAAACGCUGGGCACUAAGCAUUGGAAGUAUCGACCCUUUCAGUGCUGAUUAAUUAAGCUAACGCCUUAAGUGCCCCGCCUGGGAAGUACGGCCGCAAGGCUAAAACUCAAAGGAAUUGACGGGAGCCCGCACAAGCGGUGGAGCAUGUGGUUUAAUUCGACAAUAAGCGUGGAACCUUACCAGGACUUGACAUCUAGCUGCAUACACCUAGAAAUAGGAGUAGCCUUCGAGGGUGCUAGACAGGUGCUGCAUGGUUGUCGUCAGCUCGUGUCGUGAGAUGUUGGGUUAAGUCCCUUAACGAGCGCAACCCUCGUGCUAUGUUAAAUAUUCAUAGCAGACUGCCCCGGUUUAACGGGGAGGAAGGUGGGGAUGACGUCAAAUCAGCAUGGCCCUUACGUCCUGGGCAACACACGUGCUACAAUGGCCGGUACAAUGGGUCGCAAAGUCGCAAGGCGAAGCCAAUCCCAUCAAAGCCGGUCCUAGUUCGGAUUGAGGUCUGCAACUCGACCUCAUGAAGCUGGAAUCGCUAGUAAACGCCGAUCAGCUACGCGGCGUUGAUACGUUCUCGGGCUUUGUACACAC
rnacentral:rRNA from 1 species